UUAAAAACGGUGAAGAGGGUAAGUAGGAUAUUGCUGUUUUUUCACAGAGAGCUUCGGUAGCUGAAAAGAAGCAAAAAAUACGUAUCUGAAAAAUGGCCUCCGAGUUUCGUGCUGAAAGUAUCUUUUAAGAUAUGAGUAGGUUCCGACGAGUUUUGGCACUCGUUAUCAAUGCCAAAGUAUUGAAAGCGACAAGAAUGCUUGCGUACUUAUUGAGGCUGUAUGUGCAAACAUCCAGUGAAGUAAGGUGGUACCACGUAUAUUAAACCACGUCCUUACC
rnacentral:ncRNA from 1 species